AGAUUUUACUUCAUUCACUGCAGUAUUGGAGCAGGUGAUCCUCUUGCAGUGACCACAAGCCACUGCACAACAGUCUGUUCCUAAGACAGGAGCAAGUGUUUCUGUCACAGCUGCUUUGACAGCUGCAUUUUACGAGCUUCAACAAGUAUGGUGGUGCAGGAUCCAUUUGCAUCUUCAAUGGCUUCAGCCUCUCAGCAUUCUGGCCAUUGUGGAGCAGCCA